rnacentral:rRNA from 1 species
AUUAAAUAAAUCAAAACUUUCAACAACGGAUCUCUUGGUUCUGGCAUCGAUGAAGAACGCAGCGAAAUGCGAUAAGUAAUGUGAAUUGCAGAAUUCAGUGAAUCAUCGAAUCUUUGAACGCACAUUGCGCCCGCCAGUAUUCUGGCGGGCAUGCCUGUUCGAGCGUCAUUUCAACCCUCAAG